GACGAACGCUGGCGGCGUGCUUAACACAUGCAAGUCGAACGGAAAGGCCCUGCUUGCAGGGUACUCGAGUGGCGAACGGGUGAGUAACACGUGGGUGAUCUGCCCUGCACUUCGGGAUAAGCUUGGGAAACUGGGUCUAAUACCGGAUAGGACCGCACUUUAGUGUGUGUGGUGGAAAGUUUUUUCGGUGUAGGAUGAGCUCGCGGCCUAUCAGCUUGUUGGUGGGGUAAUGGCCUACCAAGGCGGCGGCGGGUAGCCGGCCUGAGAGGGUGUACGGCCACAUUGGGGCUGAGAUACGGCCCAGACUCCUACGGGAGGGAGCAGGGGGGAAUAUUGCACAAUGGGCGCAAGCCUGAUGCAGCGACGCCGCGUGGGGGAUGAAGGCCUUCGGGUUGUAAACUCCUUUCGCUAGGGACGAAGCUUUUUGUGACGGUACCUAGAUAAGAAGCACCGGCUAACUACGUG
rnacentral:rRNA from 1 species